GCGAGGGUUGCCAAGCCAGGUCAAAGGCGUCAGGUUCAGGGCCUGAUCUCGCAGGAGUUCGGGGGUUCAAAUCCCCUCCCUCGCA
rnacentral:tRNA from 1 species